rnacentral:rRNA from 1 species
ACGGGAGGCAGCAGUGGGGAAUAUUGGGCAAUGGGCGAAAGCCUGACCCAGCAACGCCGCGUGAAGGAAGAAGGUCUUCGGAUUGUAAACUUCUUUUAUGGGGGACGAAGAAAUGACGGUACCUCAUGAAUAAGCCACGGCUAACUACGUGCCAGCAGCCGCGGUAAUACGUAGGGGGCAAGCGUUAUCCGGAUUUACUGGGUGUAAAGGGAGCGUAGACGGUAUGGCAAGUCUGAUGUGAAAACCCAGGGCUCAACCCUGGGACUGCAUUGGAAACUGUCAAACUAGAGUGCAGGAGAGGUAAGUGGAAUUCCUAGUGUAGCGGUGAAAUGCGUAGAUAUUAGGAGGAACACCAGUGGCGAAGGCGGCUUACUGGACUGUAACUGACGUUGAGGCUCGAAAGCGUGGGGAGCAAACAGGAUUAGAUACCCUGGUA